rnacentral:rRNA from 1 species
GGCGUCCGAGUUGUAAUUUGUAGAGGAUGCUAUUGGGUUGCCACCGGUCUAAGUUCCUUGGAACAGGACGUCACAGAGGGUGAGAAUCCCGUAUGUGACCGGCCAGGCGCCUUCUGUAUAGCUCCUUCGACGAGUCGGGUUGUUUGGGAAUGCAGCCCUAAAUGGGAGGUAAAUUUCUUCUAAAGCUAAAUACCGGCCAGAGACCGAUAGCGCACAAGUAGAGUGAUCGAAAGAUGAAAAGCACUUUGGAAAGAGAGUUAAAAAGCACGUGAAAUUGUUGAAAGGGAAGCGCUUGCAAUCAGUCUCGACGGCGGCUGUUCGGCCUCUCUUCUGAGUGGUUUAUUCAGUCGCCGCCGGGCCAGCAUCAGUUUUGGCGGUCGGAUAAAGGCGCGGGGAAUGUAGCUCCUCCGGGAGUGUUAUAGCCCCGCGUGCAAUACGGCCCGCCGGGACUGAGGUCCGCGCUUCGGCUAGGAUGCUGGCGAAAUGGUUGUAAGCGGCCCGUCUUGAAACACGGACCAAGGAGUCUAACAUCUACGCGAGUGUUUGGGUGUCAAACCCGUGCGCGCAAUGAAAGUGAACGGAGGUGGGAACCGCAAGGUGCACCAUCGACCGAUCCUGAUGUCGUCGGAUGGAUUUGAGUAAGAGCGUAGCUGUUGGGACCCGAAAGAUGGUGAACUAUGCCUGAAUAGGGUGAAGCCAGAGGAAACUCUGGUGGAGGCUCGCAGCGGUUCUGACG